GCGGCGGCUCCUAAACGAAUUGAUAGACAGAUUAACUCCGUGAAGAUUUUGGGCCGACAUGAGGGCUAAGGUUAGCACAACUUCAUUGAUUUAGCUUAAUUCAAUUUUAAUUUUUUAAUACAGCCCUGUUUUGAUUCGUGUUGUGAUUGAUAUUUACUUGUUUCACGAUCAUCCUUAUCUUCUAUGAAUGAUUUUUAUGCGUUCUCUAUACUGAAAUGUUGCGUUUGUAAUUCUAUGCUCUUAAAUAGUGAUGAAAAUUUCUUACGCUUUCAUACUUCUAGUUUUUCCUUAUUAGAUUACCUUGUCGUGCCAAAUACGUGUAAAGACCUAAGCUUUUUACCUGUGUUCGACUAUGCAAACCUAAUUUCGACUAUGUUCAUAUUAAGAUGUUGGAUGAACAAAUCAACAGAUGUUACUUGUUAAACUGUGGAUAUUGCUGCAUUUACCUACGUUUAUUUAUGAAAAAUUGAGAAAACGAAAAGGGGUUAGGGUUUCACUUGACUUGGAAGGUGAGAGAAUGUUGGUUCUUAAAUCUAGAGGCCCUAAAAGGAUGUCCAAACGUGAUUGCUAAUGCAUUGAUAAUUUUGGCUUGAAAACAAAAUUCUCCUGAGUAUGCGCUGCCUAUGCACCAUACUGUCUUUUAAGUUUAAUCUUGUUAAGUUACAUUCUCGUGCAUUUUACAGUGGAAGAAGAAGCGUAUGAGGAGGUUGAAGAGGAAGCGCCGAAAGAUGAGACAAAGAUCCAAGUAGAAGUUUGGACUAGGAUACCUGAGUGGGUCCUUUUGCAUGGACCAGCCUCUUCUUCAUUGGCCUUGGUUUUUCGGAUGAAUGGAAGGAAGUUCUGUAGAAAUAUGGAGUUGUCUUGUUUUCGAUUAUGUUCUUACUGAAGUGUUUUAGCUUAUAAUUAAGGAUUGUUUUGCAUUAUCAUUUCGAAUCUAAACAGAUUAUGAGACUUGUAUUGAACCUAUUCUAUCUAGUCUUCGCUUAUUUUUCUAUACUUUACGGAUUUUUGUUUCAGUUUUAAAAUUCUGCUUCUAUGUUGUGAUUGCAUUACACUCUUAAAAGAUGUCAAAGUUUAUUUUUAUCAUCAUUCUUUAUCGGAACCAAACAGGAUUUUGAGUUUAUUGGCAAGUAAAACAUGU
rnacentral:lncRNA from 1 species